rnacentral:rRNA from 1 species
AUUGAACGCUGGCGGCAUGCCUUACACAUGCAAGUCGAACGGCAGCACGGGAGCAAUCCUGGUGGCGAGUGGCGAACGGGUGAGUAAUAUAUCGGAACGUGCCCAGUCGUGGGGGAUAACGUAGCGAAAGCUACGCUAAUACCGCAUACGAUCUAUGGAUGAAAGCGGGGGAUCGCAAGACCUCGCGCGAUUGGAGCGGCCGAUAUCAGAUUAGGUAGUUGGUGAGGUAAAGGCUCACCAAGCCGACGAUCUGUAGCUGGUCUGAGAGGACGACCAGCCACACUGGGACUGAGACACGGCCCAGACUCCUACGGGAGGCAGCAGUGGGGAAUUUUGGACAAUGGGCGCAAGCCUGAUCCAGCAAUGCCGCGUGCAGGAUGAAGGCCUUCGGGUUGUAAACUGCUUUUGUACGGAACGAAACGGUGAGCUCUAAUACAGUUUGCUAAUGACGGUACCGUAAGAAUAAGCACCGGCUAACUACGUGCCAGCCGCCGCCGUAACAC